AGAGAAGGAUACAAGAGCGAACGGUGGAUGCCUAGGCUUCUGGAGGCGAUGAAGGACGCGGUAAGCUGCGAAAAUCUCCGGGUAACAGCAAACAUGUAUUGAUCCGGAGGUGUCCGAAUGGGGCAACCCGGCAGGCUGAAGGCCUGUCACCGCAGGUGAUGCGGGGCGAACGCGGGGAACUGAAACAUCUCAGUACCCGCAGGAAGAGAAAGAAAUUAUCGAUUCCCUGAGUAGUGGCGAUCGAAAGGGGAAGAGCCCAAACCCGCGGCGUUUCGGCGCGGCGGGGGUUGUAGGGCCGCCAGCAAGAGUUCAUGACGUGAACCGGAACCGUCUGGAAAGUCGGUCCGCAGAGGGUGACAGACCCGUACGGGCAAGCGUCAUGCACCGGAGGCGGUGCCUGAGUAGGGCGGGACACGUGCAAUCCUGUCUGAAUCCGCGGGGACCAUCCCGCAAGGCUAAAUACUCCCGGAAGACCGAUAGUGAACCAGUACCGUGAGGGAAAGGUGGGAAGCACCCCGAGCAGGGGAGUGAAAUAGACCCUGAAACCGUUCGUUUACAAGCGGUCGGAGCUCUUUUAUGGAGCGACGGCGUGCCUUUUGCAUAAUGAGCCUACGAGUUGCGUCCGUCCGGCAAGGUUAAGCACUUCAGGUGCGUGAGCCGGAGCGAGAGCGAGUCUGAACAGGGCGUUCAGUCGGGCGGAGCAGACGCGAAACCUAGUGAUCUACCCAUGGCCAGGGUGAAGUCCGCGUAACAGCGGAUGGAGGCCCGAACCGGUUUACGUUGAAAAGUGCUCGGAUGAGCUGUGGGUAGGGGUGAAAGGCUAAUCAAACUGGGAGAUAGCUCGUACUCCCCGAAAUGUCUUUAGGGACAGCCUCGUCUUAGCUUCACGGAGGUAGAGCUACUGAUAGGAUGCGAGGGCUUCAUCGCCUAUCAAUUCCUGACAAACUCCGAAUGCCGUGAAGUGUUGGACGGGAGUGAGUCGCCGGGUGCUAAUGUCCGGCGGCGAGAGGGAAAGAGCCCAGACCUCCGGCCAAGGCCCCCAAGAGCGGUUUAAGUUGAAUGAACGAGGUGACAUCGCAGAGACAGCUAGGAUGUUAGCUUGGAAGCAGCUAUUCAUUUAAAGAGUGCGUAACAGCUCACUAGUCGAGCGAUGACGCGUGGAUGAUGAACGGGCAUCAAGACCGCCGCCGAAGCCGAGGACUCUGAUAUUUCAGAGUGGUAGGGGAGCAUUCCGGUCGGCGCCGAAGGUGUGGCGUGAGCCAUGCUGGAGCGUCCGGAAAAGAAAAUGUAGGCAUGAGUAACGACAACGCAUGUAUGACCAUGCGCACCGUAAGCCCAAGGUUUCCUGGACAACGCCAGCCGUACCAGGGUAAGCCGGGGACUAAGGAUAACCCGACAGGGGAUUCCGAUGACGAUGCGGUUAAUAUUCCGCAGCCUGCUGUGCAGGCGAAGGCGUGACCGAGGAGUGGCACUGCCGCCCCCUGACGGAAUAGGGGGUCUAAGGACGUAGGGCGACUGAAAUCCGAAAGUACUGUGAUCCUUCGGGAGAUCAGACAGCGCAGGUAAUCAUACUCGCAAGAAAAGCGCCGUAGCGUUAAGCGCACAGCAGCCCGUACCGUAAACCGACACAGGUGGGCGAGGAGAGUAUCCUAAGGUGCUCGAGUGAAUCACGGCUAAGGAACUAGGCAAAUUGACCCCGUAACUUCGGGAUAAGGGGACCCCGCGAGGGGCGCAGAGAAAUGGCCCAGGCGACUGUUUACCAAAAACACAUGGCUAUGCGAAAUCGCAAGAUGACGAAUAUGGCCUGACACCUGCCCGGUGCCGGAAGGUUAAGAGGGGGAGUCAUCGCAAGAGAAGCUCUGAAUUGAAGCCCCGGUAAACGGCGGCCGUAACUAUAACGGUCCUAAGGUAGCGAAAUUCCUUGUCGGGUAAGUUC
rnacentral:rRNA from 1 species